rnacentral:lncRNA from 1 species
GGAGGCAGGAGUGUGGCAGGGGGGCGCCCGCCUGGCCUGGCUGCGGCUGCCCCACGCCAAGGUCAACGACGGCGACUGGCACCACGUGCAGCUGGAGCUGCGGGGGGCCCCCGGCCGCCCCCCGCCCGCCGCCCUGCUCCUCCUGGCCCUCGACUACGGCCGCCACCAGGUGCCCGCGGCGGGCAGGGCUGGCGCGGGGGAAACCGAGGCACCACCAGCUCGGGGGGGGGGACGCCCUGCUGUCCCCGAGCGGGCGGCUCAGGGGCGCUGUGCCCGCAGGCGGUGGCCGACGUGGCCGGCGAGCUGCAGGGGCUGCGGCUGCGGACGCUGAGCGUGGGCGGCCUGGCGGGGGACRACGGCGAGGUGCAGCAGGGCUUCCGCGGCUGCCUCCAGGUACCGGCGCGCGGCGGGGGUGCGGAUGUGCCGGCACGGGGACGUGGGCAUGGGCGCGGGGACAUGGGUUUGUGCAUAGGGCAUGGGCACAGGGACAUGGGUGCAGGGACACAGGGACAUGGGUAAGUACAUAGGGCAUGGGCACAGGGACAUGGGGACAUGGGUAUGUGCAUAGGGCAUGGGCACAGGGACAUGGGUGCAGGGACACGGGGACAUGGGUAUGGGCACAGGGACAUGGGCACAGGAACAUGGAGACAUGGGUAUGGGCACAGGCACAUAGGUAUGGGGGCAUGGGCACAGGGCAUGGGCACAGGGACACGGGUGCAGGGACAUGGGGACAUGGGUAUGGGCACAGGGACAUGGGCACAGGGGUAUGGAGACAUGGGCAGAUGGGCAAGAGCACGUGGGGUCACGGGCAUGGGGUCAUGGCGAUACGGUCACAGGGCACAGUUAUGGGGCAUGGGGACAUGGGUAUGGGCAUAGGGCAUGGACACAUGGUCAYCUGGGUGAGGGGACAGGGGCGCAGGGACUUGGGGGCAUGGACACAAGGGCGUGGAGACAUGGGCAUACGGGCAAGAGCAGAUGGGGACGUAGGUGUGGGGACAUGGGCAUGGGCAUGGGCCAUGGGACAUACGGGCAAGAGGACCCGAGGGCAUAAACUUGUGGCCGGGGAGGACGGGGCCGGGCGGGAGGGCGGCGGUGGCGGUGGCGGUGACAGGCGCCCCGUGGCAGGGCGUGCGCGUGGGCGAGACGGCGGCCAGCGCGGUGGCGCUGAACGUCGACCAGGCGGCGCGGGUGAACGUGGAGCGGGGCUGCGCCGUGCCCGACCCCUGCGACUCCAGCCCCUGCCCGGGCAACAGCUACUGCAGUGA